GUGAGGAAUUUUCCGCAAUGGGCGAAAGCCGGACGGAGCAAUGCCGCGUGAAGGAUGAAGGCCUAUGGGUUGUAAACUUCUUUUCUUAGAGAAGAAUAUUGACGGUAUCUGAGGAAUAAGCAUCGGCUAACUCUGUGCCAGCAGCCGCGGUAAGACAGAGGAUGCAAGCGUUAUCCGGAAUGAAUGGGCGUAAAGCGUCUGUAGGUGGCGUCAAAAGUCUCCUGCCAAAGAUAAGGGCUUAACCCUGGGCCGGCAGGCGAGACUCUGAGGCUAGAGUUUGGUAGGGGCAGAGGGAAUUCCCGGUGGAGCGGUGAAAGGCGUGGAGAUCGGGAGGAACACCAAAGGCGAAAGCACUCUGCUGGGCCACAACUGACACUGAGAGACGAAAGCGAGGGGAGCAAAAGGGAUUAGAUACCCGAGUAGUCC
rnacentral:rRNA from 1 species